CACGCUGUAAACGAUGAGUGCUAGGUGUCGGGUGUCAAAGCUCGGUGCCGCAGUUAACACAUUAAGCACUCCGCCUGGGGAGUACGUUCGCAAGAAUGAAACUCAAAGGAAUUGACGGGGACCCGCACAAGCAGCGGAGCAUGUGGUUUAAUUCGAUGCAACGCGAAGAACCUUACCAGGACUUGACAUCCCUCGGACCGGAUUAGAGAUAAUCCUUUCUCUUCGGAGACUGAGGUGACAGGUGG
rnacentral:rRNA from 1 species